rnacentral:lncRNA from 1 species
ACCUGUCAUUCGUUCGUCCUCAGUGCAGGGCAACAGGACUUUAGGUUCAAGAUGGUGACUGCAGCCAUGCUGCUACAGUGCUGCCCAGUGCUUGCCCGGGGCCCCACAAGCCUCCUAGGCAAGGUGGUUAAGACUCACCAGUUCCUGUUUGGUAUUGGACGCUGUCCCAUCCUGGCUACCCAAGGACCAAACUGUUCUCAAAUCCACCUUAAGGCAACAAAGGCUGGAGGAGAUUCUCCAUCUUGGGCGAAGGGCCACUGUCCCUUCAUGCUGUCGGAACUCCAGGAUGGGAAGAGCAAGAUUGUGCAGAAGGCAGCCCCAGAAGUCCAGGAAGAUGUGAAGGCUUUCAAGACAGGGAGACCCUGCAGCGUCAUGGUGCUGGAGCUGGUGGCACCCGCAACAUCUCAGGCACCAGUAAGUUUCAUGUGGAGCUUGAGCAGGAGCUGGCUGAGCUGCACCAGAAGGACUCAGCCCUGCUCUUCUCCUCCUGCUUUGUUGCCAAUGACUCUACUCUCUUCACCUUGGCCAAGAUCCUGCCAGGGUGCGAGAUUUACUCAGACGCAGGCAACCAUGCUUCCAUGAUCCAAGGUAUCCGUAACAGUGGAGCAGCCAAGUUUGUCUUCAGGCACAAUGACCCUGACCACCU